GAUGAACGCUGGCGGCGUGCCUAAUACAUGCAAGUCGAGCGAACGGACGAGAAGCUUGCUUCUCUGAUGUUAGCGGCGGACGGGUGAGUAACACGUGGAUAACCUACCUAUAAGACUGGGAUAACUUCGGGAAACCGGAGCUAAUACCGGAUAAUAUUUUGAACCGCAUGGUUCAAAAGUGAAAGACGGUCUUGCUGUAACUUAUAGAUGGAUCCGCGCUGCAUUAGCUAGUUGGUAAGGUAACGGCUUACCAAGGCAACGAUGCAUAGCCGACCUGAGAGGCGGAUCGGCGACACGGGAGCUUGGCCGCGGACAUGACUACUACGAUAGGCAGCAGUAGGGAACCUGACGCAAUGGGGGAGAACCUGGCAGAGCAGCGCGACGCGAGUGAUGAAGGUCUUCGGAUCGUAAAACUCUGUUAUUAGGGAAAAACAUAUGUGUAAGUAACCGUGCACAGCUUGACGGUACCUAAUCAGAAAGCCACGGCUAACUACGUG
rnacentral:rRNA from 1 species